AAAAAAUAUAAAUACUUGUCAACCUUCCUGAAAGAAAAUUUAAAGCAUAUUUGGUGUUGGUUAAAUGCUGAAUCUAGUAGAAUAUAAACAGAUGAUAAAUAUACUUACUAUGUCAGCUUAGAAACAUACCUCAUCUCCACCAAAUGAAAGUUAAAGCUGAGAGAGACGUUACACUUUGAGUAAAGACAUUGUGUCACUGAUGAAAUUUUAAGUUUAAGAUUUUUAAUAGAUGAACGUUAAUGACAUUGGGUUUUACUGUUGAAAUAAAGGUUUUAAUGUCUCUUUGUCACCACAUUUUAUGACCACAUUGAAGCAGAUAAAUGGGAAUGCCCAUAUCAGCAAUUAGUAUUUUGAAAUUCAGAUUCAGUUCAGCAAUCUACCUUGACAAUUAAUUAUAAAUUUUCCAGAGGAACUGAAGUGUAUUUGAAGUAUAUUUUGAAGUGUACAUUUCUGCAUCUUGUAAUAAUACUUUUUUUCAGUAGCUUUUUGUAUAUUUUAGUUGAUAUAAUUUUAUUUUCAUUUAUGUCAAUUUGACUUAAAUCUGAACAUAUUUGAAUCUCAAAUUAUGUAUUGUUAUAACCUCUCAAUUUUUUAAAGACAUCUGCAUUUUAUUAAAUAAUACCUUAGGAAAAAUGUAGUGAAUUUUAUAAUAUCAAAUUUGAUUUAAUCACCCCACUGGUAUUUAUAACUUAUUUUGAAUAUUGUUACAAAUAAUUUGCUCAUAAUUUAUAUUUCAAAGCUCAAAGACUAUCAUGUCCCAGAGAAAGGUCAUUGCAGCUAUCUGUGAUUUAUUAGCUUUGCAUUGGAUCCCCAUUUUACAAUUCAUGUGGGGUGGCAAGGUUCAUGUAUAGUACAAAAUAAGCGAGUAGAGAAGAGAAACAUAGCAGUUGAGGUCAGGAGAGAUGUGGAGAGCAGGUUACCUAGGGUCUCUAAAGGCUUUAAAAUAAAAAUAGUUUUAUUCUGAGAUAGAAAUCUAUUGGAAAAAUUUCAACAGGUGAUUGAAUAUGUGAGGAACUUUGAUGUUGAUUUGUGCUUCUAAUAUAGAAGAAAGAAAGCAUUCCACUGUGUAGAAUUUACCACCACCAGUCCUGCCCCAACUUUUUUUUUUUUUUUUUUUUUUUUUUUGGAGACUGCAGUAGGUUGUGAAGCAUUACAGAUUCAUUAGGGGACAAAUAAAUGACUAGUGGGAUGAACCUGGUGUCUAGUAAGAGACUACCAGUUUGGCAGGAAGAUAGCACCUUCUUUUGUCCUUGAGUGGAUUCAGUAAUAAGCAGCAAUGUGUACAAAUGAAGAAAAUAAGCUGAAUCAAUAUAUUUGGGGAUUUUUUUAAAAGUAAAUAUUGUUAAUUUGAUAAGAUGAUUUACAAAAUCAAUAACAAAUAUGUCUUGUCAGGUCAUUGUGAGACAACUUCAAAAACAAUUGGCUGAUCUCAAUAAACAGUGUGUGUCUGAGACCUCACUAGAACUUACAUCACAUUAUCACAUUAAUCUCAAAGAUGAGAUAUAGGAUUUAAUGAAGAAAUGAUUUCAAGUCAAAAGUCAAAACUCAUGAGAGACAAGCAGAGACCAGUAAGAAACUUCUUUUGGAGAAACAACAGACCAGAUCUUUAUUCACAACUCAUGCUAGGAGGCCAGUCCCAGAUUUACCUUGUGUUGGAAAUCUUACCAAUAGUUUGAGUCGACAGAAUACUUAUUUUAGAAGAAAAAUUCAUGAUUUCUUCCUGAAGCCUACUACAUAAAAUAACAGUGCAAAGACCUACUUGUUCAAGGUUAUAUAAUAGUGUAACAUUGCCAAGAAGUGGAUUAUCUCAUCUUCAUCCUGUAAUUCCAGUGUUUGUCACAUGGUUGUUGAAUAAAUGAAUAAAGAAUGAGAAAGCCAGAAGCUCUGAUACAUAGUCAUAAUGAUAAUUAUUUCAAUGCACAACUAUGGGUGGUGCUGAACUACAAUCAAUAUUUUCUGCAACUGGCUCCUCUAGGAUCUACUGAUUUAAAUCUAAAAGAUGAAGUCAGUAAAGCAUCAGAAAAAAAGAUACGUGUUGACCAGUGGUCCUGCCACUGCCUAUCUAUUUGUUGAAAAUAUUGUUUACACAGUGAUUAGCAGAUUUCCCCGUUCUUCAAAUGGCCAUUUCACAUCUACCUGCAAAGGAGAGCAACACUCAGAAUGGUGGUGUUUCUCAAAUCAUCCAAGUUCAGUCAUCUGACUGUCUGGGGAAGCACACUGACUGGUCUGGUGUUCUUUGGCAUCUACUUAACCAUCUGGUCCCCCAUUCUUAUUGCACUAAAUAUGAGAGGACAGGUAAGUAUGCCAGAUUGGAAGUUUGCCUUCUGUGUCUUGUGAUAACAGUGUUUCUCCAUGUGUAGGCAAGCAGGCUCUCUGUGUUUUGCAACUGUAUUGAGGUUCAGUAGAGGCUGGUGCUACCUGUUUCUAUCAGGAUCUAUCAGGAGGUAAACCAAAUUAAAGAAUCUGGAAGAUGUCAUCUAGUCCACAGAAAUGGCAUUUUAAAUUUAAAGUAUUAUAAAAAGUCAACCUAAACCCCCUUACUUACCUGGCAUGUCCACAUUUUCAUAAUAAAUUAUGUGUUAAUUGCACAUCAUACUGAUAUGUACACUUUAUGGCCCUUUGGAAACUGGAGCUAUUUUGAGUUAUUCAUAAUCCAGUGAUUAUAUUGGUUACAGUUUUGAUGUUGUACUCUGAUUAGUAGUUAUCCUCUGUUGAGUCAUCUGUGGAAGUUAAAUCUAACAGCUCUAUGAACCAGUAUCUCUUUGAACUAGAGAGGCUGAGAUUAAAGGUCUUUAUACUCACUUGAAUGUCUUUUUAUUUUUUUCUUUUAUACUACCUUUUUCUAGUGCAUGAGAUUGAGCCAUCAACUGUGACAAACUGGAUCAUGGAAUCUCACAGUAUCAAGUUUGGAUAGAAAGGAGCUUGGCAGUCUUGUGGUCCACACCUCCUCAAUUGACCAAGGAAGCUGUGCAAGCACAGGUCUCCAGGUUCAUCCCAGAGACCCCACCCUGGGGUUGCCCACAGCAAUCCUGUCCUUAGACCCCCAAAACAGGCUGCUGGGCCCUAUGUUUUAGGGACCUCUGCACUGGCCCUCCUUCGCUGGGUGUAUUUCUCUGCACAGAGUGAAAAGCUGUGAUGCACACAGCCCCUUCUAGUGUGUUCUCUGGGCUCCCAGGAACCCAGGCCUCUUUCUCAAACAGCCAAAUGCCCAUUACCAAGGCCUGCUUGGGCCUCCUUCCAGAUGCAGGCCAGAUUGCACAACCCUAGGUCCAAGGGGCAACUGUUUGCAAGGGGUGUGCACUGAGUAGAUUGAUGUUUGCACUGGUGUUUCCACCCACGUUUAAAGGAGGAUGUUCAUGCUGGGGCACAGAACCCAGUGGAAAGGGAAGAACAGUGGGUCAGACUUUAAUUGGUGUUUCCCACCCAGGAAUACAUAUUUUAGGGGCAGGUCUGUGCAUGGCACAGCUGUCUGCUAUCUCUGCCUCACUUACUCUGCAGAAGUAAAUGAAACCCCUGGGUUGACUGCAGUCUAGACUGUGUCCAACAGCUGUUUUUUGUGAGGUAGCCCUUAGUAGUGUU